GCUGUAAAGCCCUCUAAGCCUGAAGACUAAGUGGGACCAGAUGAGGAAGAAGCUGGAGGAGGACCUACAGGGUUAUUUUACAACUGGCCUGUACCCUGAUCUCAACUCUUUGCGCAAGGGUGAACACGAAGAGGCCAGUGAAGAGCUGUGCCUGGAAAGCCAGGAUCUCUUUGGGACUCACAACCCUGAAGACAACUUUGUGGAAAGGGUGAUCCCAGCCAGAAACUCAGGCUGGUAUUGAGGCAGAUCCUAUUGAGUGAACCUCAGCAUGACCAGCCCACACCAGUCACCAGCCAAUCUGGCUCUCCUACAGCUCAGAACAAGAAAAGUAUCACUUUUUUCCCCCACUGGAAAAGACAGAAGUUCAAGUUCUUAUGAAUACCAACCAGCUUGUGAAAGACAUCGUAAGUUAAUAUCGAGAUCUCUGCGACUGGGACUGUAGCAUGACAUUUCCAAGUAAGGCUUUAUCUGGACUGGGAUAAAAGGUGUGUAGGCUAACAUGCUCUAACAGUCUGUGGUAGACAAGACCCUCUUACUCAACCAUUGUAGCAUAUGUAAAAGGCAAAGCCUUUAACUAACUGAGCUUGUGUUGAAGAUUAUACUGCCUUUUCUAGUUCUAGACUUUUAGAACGCGUUCAUUACAACUUGUUAGCUAACACAUUAACAUGAAUGUUAUCCUAGUAUAGACAAUGGGUAAAAUUUUCAAAAGCACUUUGGAUGGCUUAGAAGCCUAAAUCCCAUUGAAAAUUAAAGGGAUUUAAAUGCUGAAGUCAUUUAUGCAGUUUUGAAAAUUUUAUUCAAGCUGUAACUUUAUAAAGACACUUACCUUAAGUAGAGUGGGGACCCUUUGUUGAAGUUGGGUUGUGGGGGGUGUGUGGUAUUUCUGUAUAUAGAGUAUUUUGAAGAUAAUGAAUAUUUUGUUGUUGUCAUAUAAGAUACAACACUAGGCAGUUGAUUGUUGUAUACAGUGUAAUCAUAUAAGCUCAUUCCCACAUGUUUAGUCUUGUCAAUAUCCAUACACAGUUGUGCAUAUUCGAGCAUCAGAAGAUAUAAACAAAUAUGUCUUGUAUUAUGUUAGGUUUUAUAGAAUAAAAUAAGCAGCCACACAGAGAGAGAGA